UACAGAGGGUGCAAGCGUUGUUCGGAAUUAUUGGGCGUAAAGCGCGUGUAGGCGGCCGUGCAAGUCGGGUGUGAAAGCCCUCGGCUCAACCGAGGAAGUGCGCCCGAAACUGCAUGGCUUGAGUACCGGAGAGGAUGGCGGAAUUCCCCCAAGUAGAGGUGAAAUUCGUAGAUAUCGGGAGGAACACCGGUGGCGAAGGCGGCGACCUGGGACGAUACUGACGCUGAGGUGCGAAAGCGUGGGGAGCAAACAGG
rnacentral:rRNA from 1 species